AGCGGAACCCGAAAGACCUGUCUCAGUUCGGAUUGGAGUCUGCAACUCGACUCCAUGAAGCUGGAUUCGCUAGUAAUCGCGAAUCAGAAUGUCGCGGUGAAUACGUUCCCGGGUCUUGUACACACCGCCCGUCACACCACGAGAGUUUACAACACCCGAAGUCAGUGGCCUAACCGCAAGGAGGGAGCUGCCUAAGGUGGGGUAGAUGAUUGGGGUGAAGUCGUAACAAGGUAAC
rnacentral:rRNA from 1 species